rnacentral:rRNA from 1 species
CCCUAUGGAGCUUAAAUUUAACACUCACAUUACAUACCAAAUCCCACAACAGGGUUACAACACACCUAAUUUUAUGAGUGAACAAUUUUGGUUGGGGUGACCUCGGAGCAUAAAACAACCUCCGAAUAUUUUAAGCAUAGACACAACCAGUCAAAGCAAGAUACAUAACACGUAUCAUAUAAUCAUUGACCCAAAAAUUUGAUCAACGGAACAAGUUACCCUAGGGAUAACAGCGCA